AUGUCUAAGUAUAAGCAAUCUAUACUGUGAAACUGCGAAUGGCUCAUUAAAUCAGUUAUCGUUUAUUUGAUAGUACCUUACUACAUGGAUACCUGUGGUAAUUCUAGAGCUAAUACAUGCUAAAAACCCCGACUUCGGGAGGGGUGUAUUUAUUAGAUAAAAAACCAAUGCCCUCGGGGCUCCUUGGUGAAUCAUAAUAACUUAACGAAUCGCAUGGCCUUGCGCCGGCGAUGGUUCAUUCAAAUUUCUGCCCUAUCAACUUUCGAUGGUAGGAUAGUGGCCUACCAUGGUGGCAACGGGUAACGGGGAAUUAGGGUUCGAUUCCGGAGAGGGAGCCUGAGAAACGGCUACCACAUCCAAGGAAGGCAGCAGGCGCGCAAAUUACCCAAUCCCGACACGGGGAGGUAGUGACAAUAAAUACUGAUACGGGGCUCUUUUGGGUCUCGUAAUUGGAAUGAGUACAAUCUAAAUCUCCUUAACGAGGAACAAUUGGAGGGCAAGUCUGGUGCCAGCAGCCGCGGUAAUUCCAGCUCCAAUAGCGUAUAUUAAAGUUGUUGCAGUUAAAAAGCUCGUAGUUGAACCUUGGGUCUGGCUGGCCGGUCCGCCUCACCGCGAGUACUGGUCCGGCUGGACCUUUCCUUCUGGGGAAUCCCAUGGCCUUCACUGGCUGUGGGUGGAACCAGGACUUUUACUGUGAAAAAAUUAGAGUGUUCAAAGCA
rnacentral:rRNA from 1 species